rnacentral:rRNA from 1 species
AGUUACCAUCAUUAAGUUGGGGACGUCUAGCGAGACUGCAGUGAUAAACUGGAGGAAGUGGGGAUGACGUCAAAUCAUCAUGCCCCUUAUGACCUGGGCUACAAACGUGAUACAAUGGCUGGAACAAAGGGAUGCGAAGCAGUGAUGUGGAGCGAAACCCAUAAAAACAGUCUCAGUUCGGAUUGAAGUCUGCAACUCGACUUCAUGAAGUCGGAAUCGCUAGUAAUCGCGGAUCAGAACGCCGCGGUGAAUACGUUCUCGGGGUUU